AUUCAGCCGAUGAAUCCCAAGUAGGACGAAAUGCGCAUCUUAAAU
rnacentral:hammerhead_ribozyme from 1 species